AGCCAUCAACCCCGAGCGUUUCUUGCGAGCGCGCGGCGGUUGGACCUGGGGGCUCUGCCGCUCGAUGAGAGCCGGCUCCCCUCAAAUGCUUCGGUUGGGCCUGUGGGUCGAACUCGACUGGGCGUUGUACCAUCCUCGCUCGAACGAGACGGACCCCUUCCGCGCCUUGCCUCGACCUGCCUCCCAGUGGGGGCGGUCAAUCAAGCUUUUUGAA
rnacentral:misc_RNA from 1 species